AGCGGGGGUGGGGGGGUGGUGGGGGGGUGGGGGGGUGGGGGGAGUGUAGAAUGAAAGGGAAAUGAUUUCCAGGAAAGAUGCAUCUUUAGCCUGCUCCACCCAGUCCAUCUGGGUUAACUCUUACAUGCAAGCCCUGCACCAUCUACCCACAGUUUUAUGAACUCAUCUGGUUAAGAGACUCAGGUCUGCCCUUUAAUCAGGUAACCAAACCUAUCUCUGUUUGGGUUCCAGCUGUAUUUUACUGCCUUCACUCCGAGGAUUGAUGUUUCCAGAUUUGAACCAUGAAAAAUGGUAACCUAAUUCAGACCAGAGUGUUACAAAGCAGGGAUUGGAGGCAUGCCAGAUUUCCAGGAGUCCUUAGACCUCCAUACUAAGAAACUCUCCUCUAAGGAUAGUGCAACUCAGAAUCUCAUCAUUUUUCCAUUCUCGAAGAAAAGACUUAAAUAAGUUCACUUGAACUUGACUGUGUCCUCACACUUCCACGGCCACUCCAGCUUCCUGUUAUUAUCAGUCAAUGAAUCCAAAAGGUAUCAUUUUCUCCCUUUUUUCCAGAUGGCCUGCAU
rnacentral:lncRNA from 1 species